GAUGAACGCUGGCGGCGUGCUUAACACAUGCAAGUCGAACGAAGCAAUUUAGCGGAAGUUUUCGGAUGGAAGCUAAAUUGACUGAGUGGCGGACGGGUGAGUAACGCGUGGGUAACCUGCCUCACACUGGGGGACAACGGUUAGAAAUGACUGCUAAUACCGCAUAAGCGCACAGGGCCGCAUGGUCCGGUGUGAAAAACUCCGGUGGUGUGAGAUGGACCCGCGUUUGAUUAGCUAGUUGGUGGGUAACGGCCUACCAAGGCGGCGAUCAAUAGCCGACCUGAGAGGGUGACCGGCCACAUUGGGACUGAGACACGGCCCAAACUCCUACGGGAGGCAGCAGUGGGGAAUAUUGCACAAUGGGGGAAACCCUGAUGCAGCGACGCCGCGUGAGUGAAGAAGUAUUUCGGUAUGUAAAGCUCUAUCAGCAGGGAAGAAAAUGACGGUACCUGACUAAGAAGCCCCGGCUAACUACGUGCCAGCCGCCGCGGUAA
rnacentral:rRNA from 1 species